AGCGAGUGGCGAACGGGUGAGUAACGCGUGAGGAACCUGCCUCAAAGAGGGGGACAACAGUUGGAAACGACUGCUAAUACCGCAUAAGCCCACGGCUCGGCAUCGAGCAGAGGGAAAAGGAGCAAUCCGCUUUGAGAUGGCCUCGCGUCCGAUUAGCUAGUUGGUGAGGUAACGGCCCACCAAGGCGACGAUCGGUAGCCGGACUGAGAGGUUGAACGGCCACAUUGGGACUGAGACACGGCCCAGACUCCUACGGGAGGCAGCAGUGGGGAAUAUUGCACAAUGGGGGAAACCCUGAUGCAGCGACGCCGCGUGGAGGAAGAAGGUCUUCGGAUUGUAAACUCCUGUUGUUGAGGAAGAUAAUGACGGUACUCAACAAGGAAGUGACGGCUAACUACGUGCCAGCAGCCGCGGUAAAACGUAGGUCACAAGCGUUGUCCGGAAUUACUGGGUGUAAAGGGAGCGCAGGCGGGAAGACAAGUUGGAAGUGAAAUCCAUGGGCUCAACCCAUGAACUGCUUUCAAAACUGUUUUUCUUGAGUAGUGCAGAGGUAGGCGGAAUUCCCGGUGUAGCGGUGGAAUGCGUAGAUAUCGGGAGGAACACCAGUGGCGAAGGCGGCCUACUGGGCACCAACUGACGCUGAGGCUCGAAAGUGUGGGUAGCAAACAGGAUUAGAUACCCUGGUAGUCCACACUGUAAACGAUGAUUACUAGGUGUUGGAGGAUUGACCCCUUCAGUGCCGCAGUUAACACAAUAAGUAAUCCACCUGGGGAGUACGACCGCAAGGUUGAAACUCAAAGGAAUUGACGGGGGCCCGCACAAGCAGUGGAGUAUGUGGUUUAAUUCGACGCAACGCGAAGAACCUUACCAAGUCUUGACAUCC
rnacentral:rRNA from 1 species